rnacentral:tRNA from 1 species
GGGAGAAUAGCUCAGUGGUAGACUGUUUGCCUAGCAAGUAUAAGACCCUGGGUUCAAUCCCCAGUACUGUGA